AUACGAAGGGGGCUAGCGUUGCUCGGAAUCACUGGGCGUAAAGCGCACGUAGGCGGAUUGCUAAGUCAGGGGUGAAAUCCUGGAGCUCAACUCCAGAACUGCCUUUGAUACUGGCGAUCUCGAGUCCGGGAGAGGUGAGUGGAACUGCGAGUGUAGAGGUGAAGUUCGUAGAUAUUCGCAAGAACACCAGUGGCGAAGGCGGCUCACUGGCCCGGUACUGACGCUGAGGUGCGAAAGCGUGGGGAGCAAACA
rnacentral:rRNA from 1 species